UACGUAGGGUGCAAGCGUUGUCCGGAAUUAUUGGGCGUAAAGAGCUCGUAGGCGGUUUGUUGCGUCGGCUGUGAAAUCCCGAGGCUCAACCUCGGGUCUGCAGUCGAUACGAGCAAACUAGAGUGUUGCAGGGGAGACUGGAAUUCCUGGUGUAGCGGUGAAAUGCGCAGAUAUCGAGAGGAACACCUGCGGCGAAGGCGGGUUGCUGGGCUGACACUGACGCUGAGGCGCGAAAGCGUGGGGAGCAAACAGG
rnacentral:rRNA from 1 species